CCUCAUAGGACACCGUACCCGUGCUUCUCUUAGAUCUUUUGUUCUGUUGAUGUAAUAUAUUUAAAAAAUCAAAACUGCAAAAUGGUGGAAACCAGAGCCGUAUAGCAGCCCAUCCUUACACUGCGCACAUCUGAACGAGGCACAGCGGUGGCAGCGCUUAUUAUCAUUGUUAUAUGAAUAGGAAACAGGAUUAUCCCCUUCAACAAGAGAUUACAUCUCAACAGAUUAAUACAAACAGCCGGCUAUCGCGCACGGUUAUAAUUACGAAUAGAAAACGUUUACUUUGUGGCGCAUACAGAUGUUCUUGUGAAGGCGAGAGGUGAUUAACGUUCAGAUUUUUGUUUAAAUGACCAUGUUUUAAAGCAACGUCAUUUAUUAACCAAGUCACGUGUGAUUUCCAGUGUUUUGCAUUUCGUAGGUUAGUUACAUUUUCUAAAAUUACAAAUGUACAUCUUCCCUGCUGUGGUCAUCCAUAUUCUCUUGAAAUAGCACCAGUCUGGAUGGCAAAAACAGUGCAAGUAGUAACUUAAAUUUAAUUGGAAUACAAAAAUAUCUAUUCAUCAUGCCAAAUGAGUUCAAAAGAAAAAAUCUGAGUGAGGAAAAGAAGGGUGAAAUUCUGGCUUUGCUAGCAGAGGGAUUCAGUGAGCGUCAGGUUGCUUCCAUCCUCAAAAUUUCAAAGACGGCAGUUCAUAAGAACAAGGUCAAGGCAGAGACAUUUGGGACCACAGAGUUACAGACUGGCAGAGGGCGAAAACGACUCUCCACUGAGCGGGAUGAUCGUCAGCUCCUUCGAAUGUCACGCAACAACCGCAGGAUGACAUCAAGUGACCUACAAAGAGAAUGGCAAAUGGCAGCUGGGGUUAAGUGCACAGCGAGGACGGUUCGAAACAGGCUACGGCAGGCGGGGUUGAAGUCGUGCAAAGCUAGAAAAAAGCCGACCAUCAAAGAGAAGCAAAGAGGAGCCAGGCUGAGGUUUGCAGAAGACCAUAAGCAUUGGACCAUAGAGGACUGGAGUAAGGUUUUCUUAUCUGCAGGACAAUGCUCCAUGCCACACAGCCAGGUCAAUCAAGAUGUGGAUGGAGGACCACAAGAUCAAGACCCUGUCAUGGCCAGUCCAAUCUCCAAACCUGAACCUCAGUGAAAACCUCUUGGUUGAAGGGGAAGAUGGAUGUUCCCAGGCCAUCAAAAAUAUGGAAUAUUAUAUAGCACUGUAUAACACAUAGAGAAUGUAAUCAUUAGGACACUAUUAAGAUGUAACCAGAAGAUGCUAAUGUAACCUGUAGAGAUUGUGACCUUGUAUCCUUUAGAGAAUGCAAUUACUGCUGCACAGUGUAACCAAAAUAAGCAUGUAUCUGCACCUUAUGUUAGCUUCGAAGUUUGUGAAUCUGCAUCUUAUGUCAGCCUUGGUUGUAUGAAUAUGCACCUUAUGUUAACCUCAAAGUUUCUGUAUCUUAUGUUAGCCUUGGCUGUAUGAAUAUGUACCUUAGGUAGCAUUGCAGCUUAUCACUAUGUUGAAGGCUAAGAAUAUAAUUAGGUCUGUGGCUAACCAGCCGACAUGACCACUCUAACUGGGCAUGGGCUCCGAGUGGGUUGGUAUGUGGGUUGUGACUGGGGCUCAUUUGGGCUGCCCAGGAAAGCAUAAAUGGUGUUCAGAUGGGCAGCCCAGAAAACCUGAAUAUAUGGGGCCCACAUUGGCCCUUAAUGGGUUUAUUCUUGUGAACAUAAAGUUCGUUCUCCUAUUGCAAAUCCUGUUCGUUUACUUUCUUUUAAUUUCAUUUGAAAUUUCUAUGUUAAUGCCAUUGAAAGCACUUUUCAUGCUUUUACAUAUUGAAUGUCAUUUUGUACACAAUACAUGAAAUGUUGAGAAAAUCUCUUCUGUCAGUGUGUGGAAUACGUAUUCACACAACAAUAUCCUGUAUCAGUGGAAGUACAUUCCUUAAGCUUAGAAUUUGCUUAAAGCUAUAGUUAUCUGUUCUCAUAUGUACUUCAGUGAUUAACUCUCAAUCAUUCAUACUGGAUGUCAUGUUAAUCUAAUGCAUAGCUGGGCAAUCUUAUCCACAAAGGGCCAAUGUGUAUGUAGGUUUUUGGGAUAACCAUUAGGUUAGCUGUUCAAACCCAGGUGUGAGGACUCUUCAGCCAAUCAGUUCUCUAAUUAGUAAUCUAAUUAGGGAGUUGCUGCGAAAACCUGCACACACAGCGGCCCUUUGCAGAUAAGGUUGCCCUCCCCUGAUCUAAUGCAUGACAUUAUGGUAUCAGCAUCUCUCAAAGUUGCUGAACUAAGUCUUGCCUUCAGUUGAAAUCUUGGUGGUGACUGGUGAAAUUGGUGAAGUCCCGCUGCACAUGAGACCACUGAAAUUAACCAAUCAUGUAUCACUCUUGCAAAUAAAUUAAUGUACUAUUGGCGGGCUUUCUUCAAUUUUUCUUCGAAGGUUGGACAAGCAUCAAACGUUCUCAAGCUAUCCUGAAGCAGAAAACAUCAAUAAAAAAGGAUAUUGAGCAUUCUCAAUUUUUCACAAAUGCUGGUGACCGUGACGGAAAUCGUGCACUAAGAGCUCACCGGGACCUUCAAACGAGGACAGAAUCUUCUGGGUAUGUAUCUGGCUGAUUGUUACUAUAAAGGCUCACUUCCCAUUGGCAUUAAUGCAGUACACGUGCACAGAUAGUUAUGCAG